UACGUAGGGUGCGAGCGUUAAUCGGAAUUACUGGGCGUAAAGGGUGCGUAGGCGGCCAUGUAAGUAGGGUGUGAAAUCCCCCGGCUUAACCGGGGAACUGCGCCCUAAACUGUGUGGCUUGAGUGAGAUAGGGGUGUGUGGAACUUCCGGUGGAGCGGUGAAAUGUGUUGAUAUCGGAAGGAACGCCGGUGGCGAAAGCGACACACUGGGUCUCAACUGACGCUGAGGCACGAAAGCCAGGGGAGCGAACGGG
rnacentral:rRNA from 1 species